rnacentral:tRNA from 1 species
UCUCUCUUAGUACAGUGGUAAGUAUGUCGGACUUGUCGCGCCGAUGACGCAAGUUCGAUUCUCGUAGAGAGAA